GUUAUUAGGAAAAAACACGCAAUUUUUUCAUUUAAGAUACAUUUUUCUAAAAAACCGCAGAGUGGCGCUACUGUAGUAUUUGUUUGGUCGACACACCACGUUGGUUGUCGUAAGUGCUCCCUGCAGUAAGGUGGUAUUUGAGGUAAAUUUUAGAAGUGCCUAGACAAAACGUGCUGCUUGUUGUGUGCAGUGACCAUCCCAAACCCUCCGGACUCGUGUAACGCCAUUAGUUCGCCGUGUGUUUCGAGCGAUCCACCAGUGUCGUCAGUGAGUGCCCUAGUACAGCUCCCGUCCGAACUGCCUUUGUUCUGCCGAGCUGCUGCCGGCGCUGUUCUGCCGGCGCUCUCGUCAAAAGUCUGGUACUGGGGCUUCGAAUUGUAGUGUUUGGAAGACUGUUGAAGGUUGUGCUUUUGUGGAGCUGGAGUUCAUCGGCAGUUCUACAGUGCUUGCGCCAGAGAAACGUCGGUGCUUCUGUACCUGUUAGACGAAGGAGCGUUUGCCAAGUCUUGAAAGGUAGACAUCGGUGACGGUGUAUACGUUGAAAAGGGCCUGCUGAAGAGGCUGUGCCUGGAUGCUAACAACUCAGGCUUUCACUUCGCGGAGGGCCUCCUUAAAGCUCCUUUUCCAAUAGAAGACGUUGAAGGGAGGUCCUUCUUUGGGCGGCUGUCAAAUGCCUUCCACAGAAGGAUCUGUUGGAUUCCAAGAAGGUCAACACCAUAGUAGACUACACAACGCAACAUUUCAGCCUACUUCCAGGGCAGCUGGAGAACUCGUCCCCCUUACUAGCCCGGGGAUAUUAAAUGGAUGUGUUCAAGCACAAA